rfam:Myotis davidii contig20365, whole genome shotgun sequence.
CUUGGAGGGGGCAGGUUCCUCAGCCCGGAUUGUGAGAGGGUACAGGCCAGGCUGAGGGACCCCACCAGUGCACA